GCCACACUCGCGGCAUAUAGAGUUUCCCAGGCCAGGGGUCGAAUUGGAGCUGUAGCUGCCAGCCUACGCCAUGACCAGCCUACGCCACAACCACAGCAAUGCGAGAUCCAAGCUGUGUCUGCAACCUACACUACAGCUCACAGCCAACACCGGAUCCUUAACCCACUGAGCAAGGCCAAGGAUCAAACCCAGUGUCCUCAUGGAUACCAGUGGGGUUCAUUAACCACUGAGCCAUGACAGGAACUCCAUGGUCCUUUUUUUUUAAUUUAAAUACAGUUCAUUUCUCUUUCUUAUCUUCUUUUUAUUUUUUUGACUCCAGCGUGUGGCAGCUUGAUGUGGGAUCUCAGUUCCCAGACCAGUGAUGAAAGCACAGAGUCUUAAUCACUAGACCAUCAGGUAACUCCCUAUGUUCUGAUCUUAUGUCACCUGCACAACACCUGUACAAUUGCUGCCACAGGGUAAGACACAUACUUCACUUUCAUCCACAAUCCACUGACAAGAACUAGUUACACAAUUACCAGGGAACUAGGAAAUAUAAACUUCUCCUGUUCCGGUAAAGGAGACCUGUUCAUGGAAGAAUACUAAAAUUCUCUACUAGGAAAGUCAUGUCAAAAAAAAUAUAUUAAAUGGCACCAACACAUGAAAUCAUGUCUCACUGGAGAUGUGGCAUAAUCUUCAGGCAUUGAUCCGAACAACCAGGAUCUAGUAUGUAGUCAUUAGAGUAGGUAUAUUUUAGUUGCCUACUUAGUUUCUAUUCUAACAUUUUCCUGUUUUUUAUGCUGAUAUGCAGCCCUCCACCCAGCUGCAUUUGCUUUGAGUGAAUCUAUUCCUACCUCCACGUACUUUCAAUGAAUCUGUUCCUACCUCCAUGUUCCAAAGUAGACUCCAUUUCCCUUGGCUUAAGCCAAUUAAGGCAUUCCAUUUCCUUUGGCACAAUCACUGGUUCACUGAGGGGCAUGUGACCAAAACGAGCCCCAUGAGAGUGAAUUUCAGCUCUUAUGCCCAAAAUGGUGGGCGGGAGUACCUUCUCUCCAGAUAUGAGUAAGAACGUCCGCCCUUGACGCCCUGGUGGCUCAGUGAAUCAGAUCUGGUGUUGUCACUGCUGUGGCUUGGGUCGCUGUUGCCUCAUGGGUUUGAUCCCUGGCCAAGGAACUUCUGCGUUUCCUGAGCAUAGCCUGAAUGAUAAAUAAAUAUCUUGGGGAAAAAAAAGUCUAUCCCAUGACCACUAGAGGAGACAGUUUGAAAACUAGACGUAUACCAUAAAUGACAGAACAGAGAUAGGAAUAAACUGGUAAAGUGGGUCUUUAGUGAAAAGCUAAGCUGUUCAGUCAGCCAGCUUCAAGUCUGCCCUAUCUCUGAGAUUUCUAGUUUUGUGAGCUCUUUCUUCAUUAUUUUAAGCCAAAUUUGAUUUGGGUUUUCUGUUUCUUGCACCAGAAACAUUCAAUCUAAUAUACUUUUCUACUGUAAAAUAGAACAUAACUUCUCUUGGGAUAUGGUAAGAAACUUCUGGUAAGUUUAGAUUUAAGAAAAAGACUGAAUAGGAAGUACAAUUUGUCAUAAUCAAAAUAAUUUUAAGAGGAAUUUUAUGAAACAGCAUGUAAAAUAAAUAAAUUUGGUAGUAGCUUGUAAUUAGAAAAAACUCCACUAAAAUAAACUAGGGAUCUUUGGGAAAAUGGCUGACCUCAACUGUAAGGCAGGAAUUGUACACAACAGUUAUGGACAUUUUUCUUGUAUCAGACACCAAGGACAUUAUCAUAAAAAAAUGUGUUACGUCAAAAUGAUUCAGGAUUACAUGAUGUCUGGCAUUUGUUUUAAAAUAAUCCUUAAGAAUUGAGGGUAUAGGAGUUCCCGUUGUAGCUCAGUGGUUAAUGAACCUGAUUAGUGUCCAUGAGAACACAGGUUCGAUCCCUGGCCUUGCUCAGUGGGUUAAGGAUCCAGCAUUACCAUGAGCUGUGGUGAUGUGGCUCAGAUCUGGCAUUGCUGUGGCUGUGGCAUAGGCCAGCAGCUAUAGCUCCGAUUCGACUCCUAGCCUGGGAACUUCCAUAUACUGUGGGCAAGACCCUAAAAAGCAAAAAAAAAAAAAAAAAAAAAAAAAAAUUGAGGGUGGGUAUAUAGGGAUAGAGAUGACUACAGAUUAGUCAUGAGUUGAUCACUGUCAAAGCUGGGUGACAUAUAUACAUCAUGGUUCAUUAUGAUUCUCUGUACUUUAGUAUAUAUUUGACAUUUUCCAUAAUAAAACAAAAAAAGAAUAAGAACUUGAAGCAAUGCUUAUUGGCCUAAGAUGAAAUAUUUACACACCAAAAAGAAUAAUGAUCAUAACUAAUUAAAAUAUAUCACCAUCUCCAAAAUACAUAAGUUUUUAUGUAUUUCGACCACCAUUGGAUGUUCUUAGGGCACCCACUCAUUACUCUAAAAACUGAUAAAAGGAAAAAAAAAUCAAGAAUUUAUUCUGCCUUUUAUUUACAAAUUCUGUGUCAGCACGUGGCAACCAUCUAGGUGCAACUCCCAGAUCUCCUUUCAAGAAGGAACUUGCCAUUUGUGUACGGAAAAAGUUAACUGCGUGUUAGUAAUUUUAGGAUCCACAUUAGCUUUUGAGCCAAUGUUACCCCUUUCCCAGGCAGUCCCUGGACAAUGACUGGGCAGGGCAGAAAAACCAGUGACUAACCAUUUAUGCCAAAUGUGGGACUCCUCUAAUGGGCAGUCUUUACUCCAGAGCUCCUCAUUGAAUUGGGCAUGAUUUUGUCAAAUCUGCUUCAUAGCCGAAGACUCCUUUCUCUCAACAAACCUCUUGCACAUCUGUCUUUGCUUCUGAUUCCUGAAGUACCCAGCAGACACACAAACUAAUCAAAAGUUGAUGACUGUUCUUUUUUAUGAAAGUUCAUAAAUGCAAAAGAGUUAGAAAGUCAUCUUCUACAACUCCUAAUUAAUAGAUCUUGUAAAUAAUUAUCAAUGGAUGUUAAAAACAUUAGGUAAAAUGUUGAUAGAGAAUUUUAUAGAGCUAACAGACUAACACUGUCUGAAUCCACUGAUCAAUCUCAGUAUGUCUAAAAGUGAGGAGACUGGGUGUUCCCAUCAUGGCUGAGCAGUAACCAACUUGACUAGUAUCCAUGAAGACUUGGGUUCAACCCUUGGCCUCGCUUACUGGGCUAAAGAUCUGGUAUUGCCAGAGCUGUGGUGGAGGUCACAGAUACGGCUUGGACCCCACAAUGUUGCUGUGACUGUGGUGUAGGCCGGCAGCUGCAGCUCCAAUGGGCCCCCUAGACUGGUAACUUCCAGAUGCCACGAGUGUGGCCCUAAAAAUGCAAAAAAAAAAAAAAAAAAGGCGGUAUCAUGUCUUAUGGUAUGGUGCAAUACAAUAUUCACAGCACUGCUUAUUAAGUUUCCAGGGCAAAAAAUAUUGAGCCUAAAUAUAAUCAAGCCUCUAGCAUUAAGUAUCAAUUUAUAGGAAACAUAGGGAAUAGAGGAUUAAAUUAGAAUUCACCAUGAGAAAUCAAUCAGUUAAAUCAAUAACAGUGGACAUCCUACAAAAUAAAUGACCAGGUUUUAUCCAGCAAAUUAAUGGCAUGGAGGAAAAAGAAAGUAAUAAUCCACAACUUUUUUAUGAAGUCAGCAUUACCAUGAUAACAAAACCAGGAAAGACAGUGCAAGAAAAGAAAAUUAUAGGCAAAUAUCCCUUAUGAAGACAGAUGCAAAAAUUCUCACUAUCAAACAGAACGAGUAACAAGUAAGAAUUAGAACACAUGAUGACCAAGUGGGGUUUAUCCCAGGAAUGCAAGGUUCACUCAGUAUUCAAAACACAAUCAAUGGAAUUCAUCAUAAUCAUAAUCCAAAGGAAAAGAAAAACCACAUUGAUGUAGAAAAUAUUUGAAAGAAUGCAAUAUCUAUUAUUAAUAAAAACUCUCAUCAAAUUAGGAACAGGAUAGAAUUUUUUCAAUCUAAGCAAGGGCAUCUACUAAAAAUCUAUUUUAAAAAUUAUAUUUAGGAGUUCCCAUCGUGGUGCAGCAGAAACGAAUCCAACUAAGAACCAUGAGUUUGCGGGAUUGAUCCCUGGCCUUGCUCAAUGGGUUAAGGAUCGGCAUUGCCAUGAGAUGUGGUGUAGGUAGCAGACAAAGCUUGGAUCCUGCCUUGCUGUGGCUGUGGCCGUGGCUGUGGCAUAGGCUGGCUGCUGUAGCUCCGAUUUGACCCCUAGCCUGGGUACCUCCAUAUCCUGCAGGUGUGGCCCUAAAAAGCAAAAAGUAUAUAUAUGGCACAGAGGAAAAAGAAAUGUGAAAGUCUACUUUCCUCCUAAGAUCAGAAACACAUAGGGAUGUUCAUACUCAGCAUCCCUAACUUCCUGUGGAAGUCCUAUAAGUAGAGAGAAGAGAAGAAAGGGA
rnacentral:lncRNA from 9 species